rnacentral:rRNA from 1 species
AUUGAACGCUGGCGGCAGGCCUAACACAUGCAAGUCGAGCGGAUGAAGGGAGCUUGCUCCUGGAUUCAGCGGCGGACGGGCGAGUAAUGCCUAGGAAUCUGCCUGGUAGUGGGGGAUAACGUCCGGAACCGGGCGCUAAUACCGCAUACGUCCUGAGGGGGAAAGUGGGGGAUCUUCGGACCUCACGCUAUCAGAUGAGCCUAGGUCGGAUUAGCUAGUUGGUGGGGUAAAGGCCUACCAAGGCGACGAUCCGUAACUGGUCUGAGAGGAUGAUCAGUCACACUGGAACUGAGACACGGUCCAGACUCCUACGGGAGGCAGCAGUGGGGAAUAUUGGACAAUGGGCGAAAGCCUGAUCCAGCCAUGCCGCGUGUGUGAAGAAGGUCUUCGGAUUGUAAAGCACUUUAAGUUGGGAGGAAGGGCAGUAAGUUAAUACCUUGCUGUUUUGACGUUACCAACAGAAUAAGCACCGGCUAACUUCGUG